UGUGUGUGUGUGUGUGUGUGUGUGUGUGUGUGUGUGUGUGUGUGUGUGCGUGACACUGCUGCUGGUUCGUGACUAAUGCCGAGGGGAACGUGCGGUUCCUGAAGUUGCUCCUGUCCCGGCGCGCCGACUGCCUGCAGAAAGACCAGGAGGGCAUGACCCCGCUCCACCUGGCCACGCGGCACCCGUCGCCCAAGGCCCUGGCCCUGCUGCUCAAACACGUCGGGCCCGGAGAGGUCGACACGCAGGACAA